AUGUCUAUGAUGAGUGAACUCAAAUUCUUUCUUGGGUUGCAAAUCAAGCAAACUAAGGAAGGUACUUUUGUCUCUCAAACGAAGUACACUAAGGACUUAUUCAAGAAGUUCAGUAUGCAAGAAUGCAAAGGUAUGUCUACACCCAUGCCUACUAGUGGACAUCUUGAUUUGACCAAAGAUGGUGAACCGGUCGAUCAAAAGGUUUAUCGCUCUAUGAUUGGUUCAUUGUUAUAUCUAUGUGCUUCACGUCCCGAUAUUAUGCUAAGUGUGUGCAUGUGUGCACGAUAUCAAGCUGCUCCUAAAGAAUGUCAUCUUAAGGCUGUGAAAAGGAUAGUGAGAUACUUGAUACAUACACCAAAUUUUGGCAUUUGGUAUCCUAAGAGGGCCUCUUUCAAUCUUGUUGGCUACUCUAAAUCAGACUAUGCCGGAGACAAGGUUGAUAGAAAGUCUACUUCGGGUACUUGUCAAUUUCUUGGUAGAUCUCUUGUGUCUUGGUCUUCCAAGAAACAAAACUCAGUAUACUUAUCCACCGCCGAAGCAGAGUACAUUGCCGCUGGUUCAUGUUGUGCUCAAUUACUUUGGAUGACCCAAACUCUUAAAGAUUAUGGGAUAUAUGUGAAACAUGUUCCAUUGCUUUGUGACAAUGAAAGUGCUAUCAAAAUUGGUCAUAAUCCUGUGCAACAUUCUCGAACUAAGCAUAUUGAAGUUCGUCAUCAUUUCAUUCGAGAUCAUGUUGCUAAGGGUGACAUUGAUCUUAAGCAUGUUCGCAACGAAAAGCAGUUAGCGGAUAUAUUCACUAAACCUCUUGAUGAGAAAGUGUUUUGCAGGUUGAGAGGAGAAUUGAACAUCAUUGAUGCUUCAAACUUGGAGUAG
rnacentral:rRNA from 1 species